CAGUCGUACCGGCGGAUAAUCAGCCUUUCGGGUGCGAUUCUGUGGGGCGUGAGGAGCUUAACCGCCUUCAUGUUUUGCAUAUUCGUGCACAUUUGGUGUACUUGUCCGUGUGGUGGGUUAACAUCAACUUCGGUCGUCAUAAAAUGAUUUGAGGAAUGUGACAGCUUGCUGUGUUAUAGCCUCUUGUCGUACACGGUGCUUGGGAUUGAGGACUGCAGCACGCCUUUUGGUCGGGGUUCUCCCACGCCACGUGCUUAGGAUGCUGGCGUAAUGG
rnacentral:rRNA from 1 species